GACGAACGCUGGCGGCGUGCUUAACACAUGCAAGUCGAACGAUGAACUUGGAGCUUGCUCUGGGGGAUUAGUGGCGAACGGGUGAGUAACACGUGAGUAACCUGCCCUGGACUCUGGGAUAACUUCGAGAAAUCGGAGCUAAUACCGGAUAGGACCUUGCACCGCAUGGUGUGGGGUGGAAAGUUUUUCGGUUUGGGAUGGACUCGCGGCCUAUCAGCUUGUUGGUGAGGUAAUGGCUCACCAAGGCGUCGACGGGUAGCCGGCCUGAGAGGGUGACCGGCCACACUGGGACUGAGACACGGCCCAGACUCCUACGGGAGGCAGCAGUGGGGAAUAUUGCACAAUGGGCGCAAGCCUGAUGCGGCAACGCCGCGUGCGGGAUGACGGCCUUCGGGUUGUAAACCGCUUUUAGUAGGGAAGAAGCCUUCGGGUGACGGUACCUGCAGAAAAAGGACCGGCUAACUACGUGCCAGCCGCCGCGGUAA
rnacentral:rRNA from 1 species